AUCGAACCCGGAGAUAGCUGGUUCUCCUCGAAAUAGCUUUAGGGCUAGCCUCAUGCAAGUCUUACGGAGGUAGAGCACUGAAUUCCUAAGGGGGCGUCAAAGCUUACCAAGGGAUAUCAAACUCCGAAUGCCGUGUAGAUGGUGCAUGGGAGUCAGACUAUCCGAGAUAAGUUGGGUAGUCAAAAGGGAAAGAGCCCAGACCUACAGCUAAGGUCCCAAAAUGUGUGUUAAGUGGAAAAGGAUGUGGGAUUUCGAAGACAACUAGGAUGUUGGCUUAGAAGCAGCCAUCCAUUAAAAGAGUGCGUAAUAGCUCACUAGUCGAGAGGUCCUGCGCCGAAAAUGUCCGGGGCUGAAACACACUACCGAAGCUUGGGAAUUGACGAAUGUUAAUUGGUAGAGGAGCAUUCUUAACGGGGCGAAGCUGUACCGGAAGGAGCAGUGGACUGUUAAGAAGAGAGAAUGCCGGAAUGAGUAGCGAGAGGAAGGUGGGAAUCCUUCCGGCCGAAUAUCUAAGGUUUCCAGAGUAAAGCUGAUCUGCUCUGGGUAAGUCGGGGCCUAAGGCGAGGUCGAAAGACGUAGUCGAUGGAUAACAGGUUGAAAUUCCUGUACUAUCCUGUAACAGAACUGUGGGGACACAGGCAGAGAGCGUGAGCCGGGAAUGGAAAGACCGGUACAAGCGAGGUAGGAGUGCAUCAGGCAAAUCCGGUGCACAAUCUGAAGACGUGAUGUGGGGCGUAAAGCCGGAAGUAUGUGAGCUGGCUGCCAAGAAAAGCCGCUAUUGUUUAUGAUAUACCCGUACCGUAAACCGACACAGGUGGAUGAGGAGAGAAUCCUAAGGCCGACGGGAGAAGCAUUGUUAAGGAACUCGGCAAAAUGACUCCGUAACUUCGGGAGAAGGAGUGCCAUGUAAAAGUGGCCGCAGAGAAUUGGCCCAAGCAACUGUUUAGCAAAAACACAGGUCUAUGCAAAACCGAAAGGUGAGGUAUAUGGGCUGACGCCUGCCCGGUGCUGGAAGGUUAAGGGGAGAGGUUAGCGCAAGCGAAGCUUUGAACUUAAGCCCCAGUAAACGGCGGCCGUAACUAUAACGGUCCUAAGGUAGCGAAAUUCCUUGUCGGGUAAGUUCCGACCCGCACGAAAGGCGUAAUGAUUUGGGCACUGUCUCAACAAUGCACCCGGUGAAAUUGAAAUACCAGUGAAGAUGCUGGUUACCUGCGCCAGGACGGAAAGACCCCAUGGAGCUUUACUCCAGUUUGAUACUGGGAUUCGGCAUGGUAUGUACAGGAUAGGUGGGAGACUGAGAAGGUAUGACGUCAGUUGUACCGGAGUCGCUGUUGGGAUACCACCCUUACCAUGUUGGAUUUCUAACCUGUGGCCGUAAGCCGGUCAGGGGACAAUGUCAGGCGGGGAGUUUGACUGGGGCGGUCGCCUCCGAAAGGGUAUCGGAGGCGCUCAAAGGU
rnacentral:rRNA from 1 species